UUUAUGGAGAGUUUGAUCCUGGCUCAGGAUGAACGCUGGCGGCGUGCCUAAUACAUGCAAGUCGAGCGAACGGACGAGAAGCUUGCUUCUCUGGUGUUAGCGGCGGACGGGUGAGUAACACGUGGAUAACCUACCUAUAAGACUGGGAUAACUUCGGGAAACCGGAGCUAAUACCGGAUAAUAUUUUGAACCGCAUGGUUCAAAAGUGAAAGACGGUCUU
rnacentral:rRNA from 1 species